rnacentral:rRNA from 1 species
GACGAACGCUGGCGGCGUGCUUAACACAUGCAAGUCGAACGAAGUGGCGAACGGGUGAGUAACGCGUAAUAAACCUGCCCUUCAGAGGGGGACAACAGUUGGAAACGACUGCUAAAACCGCACACCGAAGGAGAGGAUUGUGUCUGAUUAGCUAGUAGGAGGGGUAACGGCCCACCAAGGCGAUGAUCAGUAGCCGGUCUGAGAGGAUGACCGGCCACAUUGGGACUGAGACACUGCCCAGACUCCUACGGGAGGCAGCAGUGGGGAAUCUUCCGCAAUGGACGAAAGUCUGACGAAGCAACGCCGCGUGAGUGAUGACGACCUUCGGGUUGUAAAGCUCUGUUAAUCGGGACGCGGUACCGGAAUAGAAAGCCACGGCUAACUACGUGCCAGCAGCCGCGGUAAUAC